AACCUAGCACACCUGCGGUGUGUACCUGCGGAGGGAUCAUUAAAGGGAACGCUGGUCCAACCAGCAUCCUCCAACCCAAUGUGUACCCGCCUUGUUGCCUCGGCGUGCCUGCGUCGUCCGUGGCGCUGCCGGCUCCGGCUGGAUAGCGCACGCCAGAGGAAAUGUAAACUCCAGCUUCAACGAGUGCAGUCUGAGCUUUAAUCAAAUAAGUUAAAACUUUUAACAACGGAUCUCAGAUCG
rnacentral:misc_RNA from 1 species